rnacentral:lncRNA from 1 species
AACUUCUUAAUGCACGUUCUCUGAAGUUUAAUUAGGGCUCAAAUUCCCUCUCUUCCACUCACGAGUUCUUUCAGGAGAUGGAGGAAGUUAUAUAUUGACACCCUCUCUUCAUCAUCUUCUCUACAAAGGAAAAAAUUAAUGGUUCCUUCUCCGUCUAAUCUGACAGCGUGGGAUCAUUAGCCAACCAGCUUAUUGCACAAGGCAAAAGGUACAAAGCAGAUAAUAACAAAGAAGAUUCGUUUUACUAUAGUUGUUAAUUCAUUUUAUUUGUUGUUUUCAUUUGUUUUACUCGUAUAGUGAUCUUCUGUACCUUCUGAUCUACUCAUCUCCAACGUUGAUUGAAAGGUAUUUCUCAUAUUUGUGUUCAGUCUAGUUUACUUCUUUCUCGUAACGGGUCGUGUAUUGCUAAUUUUUUUUUUAUCAAUUUCUAAUAAAAUACUCUUUUUUCAUUGUUUCAGCAAAGUGUCAUGGAGAGUGCGCCUACUACGUUCGUGGAUGUAGAGUAUCCUUAGAUGGCUGCAAUACCAAUCACCAAACAAAUACUUAGAAUUUUUAUUAUAUUUAUUUUUUU